UGACGGUCAUAUUACGUUGAAAGACCGGUCCCCGUACGAUCACCGAGGUUAAGCAACGUCGAGCCUGAUCCGUACCGAGAUGGGUGACCGUUUGGGAAUACCAGGUGAUGUAA